rnacentral:rRNA from 1 species
CCCCGGGCUCAACCUGGGAACUGCGUUNUGAACUGGGUAGCUAGAGUAUGUCAGAGGGGGGUAGAAUUCCACGUGUAGCAGUGAAAUGCGUAGAGAUGUGGAGGAAUACCGAUGGCGAAGGCAGCCCCCUGGGAUAAUACUGACGUUCAUGCUCGAAAGCGUGGGUAGCAAACAGGAUUAGAUACCCUGGUAGUCCACGCCCUAAACGAUGUCGAUUAGCUGUUGGGCAGCUUGACUGCUUAGUAGCGUAGCUAACACGUGAAAUCGACCGCCUGGGGAGUACGGUCGCAAGAUUAAAACUCAAAGGAAUUGACGGGGACCCGCACAAGCGGUGGAUGAUGUGGAUUAAUUCGAUGCAACGCGAAGAACCUUACCUGGUCUUGACAUGUACGGAACCUUCCAGAGACGGAAGGGUGCCUUCGGGAACCGUAACACAGGUGCUGCAUGGCUGUCGUCAGCUCGUGUCGUGAGAUGUUGGGUUAAGUCCCGCAACGAGCGCAACCCUUGUCAUUAGUUGCCAUCAUUCAGUUGGGCACUCUAAUGAGACUGCCGGUGACAAACCGGAGGAAGGUGGGGAUGACGUCAAGUCCUCAUGGCCCUUAUGGCCAGGGCUUCACACGUCAUACAAUGGUCGGUACAAAGGGUAGCCAAGCCGCGAGGCGGAGCCAAUCUCAUAAAACCGAUCGUAGUCCGGAUUGCACUCUGCAACUCGAGUGCAUGAAGUCGGAAUCGCUAGUAAUCGUAGGUCAGCAUACUGCGGUGAAUACGUUCCCGGGUCUUGUACACACCGCCCGUCACACCAUGGGAGUGGGGGAUACCAGAAGUAGGUAGGGUAACCGCAAGG